AUUGAACGCUGGCGGCAUGCCUUACACAUGCAAGUCGAACGGUAACAGGUUAAGCUGACGAGUGGCGAACGGGUGAGUAAUGUAUCGUAACGUGCCCAGUCGUGGGGGAUAACUGCUCGAAAGAGCAGCUAAUACCGCAUACGACCUGAGGGUUAAAGCGGGGGAUCGCAAGACCUCGCGCGAUUGGAGCGGCCGAUAUCAGAUUAGGUAGUUGGUGAGGUAAAGGCUCACCAAGCCGACGAUCUGUAUCUGGUCUGAGAGGACGACCAGCCACACUGGGACUGAGACACGGCCCAGACUCCUACGGGAGGCAGCAGUGGGGAAUUUUGGACAAUGGGCGCAAGCCUGAUCCAGCCAUGCCGCGUGCGGGAAGAAGGCCUUCGGGUUGUAAACCGCUUUUGUCAGGGAAGAAAAGGUUCUGGCUAAUACCUGGGACUCAUGACGGUACCUGAAGAAUAAGCACCGGCUAACUACGUG
rnacentral:rRNA from 1 species